rnacentral:rRNA from 1 species
UACGUAGGCAGCGAGCGUUGUUCGGAGUUACUGGGCGUAAAGAGCGUGUAGGCGGCUCGAUAAGUCUGCUGUGAAAGUCCAGGGCUCAACCCUGGAAGGCCGGUGGAAACUGUCGGGCUAGAGUCCGGAAGAGGCGAGUGGAAUUCCCCGGUGUAGCGGUGAAAAUGCGCAGAUAUCGGGGAGGAACACCAAUGGCGAAGGCAGCUCGCUGGGACGGUACUGACGCUGAGACGCGAAAAGCGUGGGGAGGCAAACAGGG